CACUGAAUCUCUGUAGCAUACGCUGCCUUUGCACUAGACGCUUGCACAUGCAGAAGUGGCCUCUAGAUGCUACUGCAAUCCAACUAAAUCGGACCUUAUUGGACAACUCACGAGGAAAAGAAAAGAAAAACAGAAGUCACUUGAACCUGUUUUUCUAUACAGAAACAACUCCUCUAAGCCUGUAAAAGUAUCCAUCCUGCAACCCUGUCCCUUUCCAACUGCACGGCUUCGCUGACCCCGCGGACAGGCUCAACUUGAAAGCGCUGUUCCCAGACUCUCGCUGCAGACGCCGGCGGGAGCUUCGGGCACUUCUGCAGGAGGAGCAGCCCGCUCGCUCCGGGCCCAUCCGCACACCGCUCCGCGGCCCUCACUUCAGUUGGAGGCACCUUUUGCCACGCAAGAUAUGAGCAGAAGAGUCUUCCUUUUCCUGCCUAAAGGAGGGAUCAGUGCAGUGCAUGUAGUGAAAAUGCAACUAGGAGCAAAUGCCAGCAUGACUGGGAUCUGAGGAGGCAUCUCCGUGUUCUUACCAGAAGUUUGUGGCUCCAGAGGAGGGGUGCAAGGACAGCAGGAACAUUUUGAGCUAAAAUGGAUAUCCCCACCGAUUUGGUGCCAUCCUCCAUGAUGUCACAGCCUGAGGUGAUC